UCCCUGGUGGCUAUGUUGGUAAAGUAUUUGCCUGCAAUGCAGGAGACCUAGGUUCGAUUCCUGAGUUUGGAA
rnacentral:tRNA from 1 species